rnacentral:rRNA from 1 species
AGCUUCGGCCAUCCGGCGAGGGAUGGGCCCGCGGUCCAUUAGCUAGUUGGUGGGGUAACGGCCUACCAAGGCGACGAUGGAUAGCUGGUCUGAGAGGAUGAUCAGCCACACUGGGACUGAGACACGGCCCAGACUCCUACGGGAGGCAGCAGUCGGGAAUCUUGCGCAAUGGGCGAAAGCCUGACGCAGCAACACCGUGUGGGCGACGAAGGCCUUCGGGUCGUAAAGCCCUGUUGUUGGGGACGAAGGGCGAAGGGUUAAUAGCCC